CCGCUGCCCCCACUCCCCCAUCUCCUCCAAUUUGCCCUCCGUAGCUUUUCUCUAGGGUAUCGUAUUCCGGGAGUUCAACUGUCAUUUGAAGCCGCUGCAUUUAGCAGGGACCCCGGGGCUGCCGCUGGGGACCCCUGAUUUACGCAGUGGUUGGAGAGCGUUGGCAGGAACCCAAGCCUGGUGUGAGCGCGGUGCCCCGCCGUGUGUACCUGCGGGCUCAGGUCUGUUCCUCAAACCAUGAUUGUAUCUGGGGUCAAAAGGUGACCCCUUAGUGUCACCAAGUCGUGAUUCCGGCUGGUUGUGCCACCGAGGGGCCCCUCAGGAGGUAAAAGGGCUUGAAAAUAAAUUGUCACAUCAAGAGGCAGCUUUGCAGCGUGCGUUUAAGGAGAGGGUGGGGGGACGUGGGUAAAUGGAUCCUGUCUCUUUAAAAUCGCUGGGCUGGACAAUGAGCGCACAGGAUGUGGUUUGGCGGCAGGGUUUUUUCCCCUUCGAUUUGGGGAAUUAUCACAUGGGGCCUUCUUGAGCUGGUGUGAAAGGGAGGCGGCGUGGGGAGGAGAGAUACAGGCUCCACACUCACACUCUCUGUGCAGUUGAUCGUUUUCUUAAACCAAAUUAGCCGGGGCUUUCGUUACUAUGGUGCAGCCGGGGCUUGCAGAAUCCCAGUAAUAGCAUUUAUUAGGUCUAUUUGCCUGGAAGCAUGCCUUCCCGGAUCUGAUAAUGCACCAGUGCAGGGAGAGUGUGGGAGAUGCUAUCAAGCAUUUGAUUACACUUGCAACAGGGAUUUUUAAGGGGUGGGGUGCGGGGUGAGGGGUGAGAGGAAAAGAAAGGAGGGAAACAAACCGCUCGCCCGAGGAGCUCACCAGGGCCGGCCGGCGUGUGCGUUGCCGCAACCCCGCGUGGGUUCCACAAAAGGCGGCCCCGAGUCUCCGGGUCACGGUUUGGGGAUUCUCCUCCCGGGUCCUGGCGGAGGGCGAACUCCCGGCUCCCGCAGCUGUCAG
rnacentral:lncRNA from 1 species